UGCAUCCGAUUUCACCUUGAGAGAUGCACACGCCUGAUGAAGCUAAUUUGUUUAGCGAAAUAUUGCGUAUUUCUAUUUAACAUCUAAUAGAACUUUUUAAUGUAUUAAUUAGUGUGUUUAAGUUAUAUUCUUGGACAUUUAUAUAAUUUUAAUUCAGUAACUGUAUCAGUUUAUUUUCACAAACUGAUCCACGCUUAAAUAGAUUGAAUGUUGA
rnacentral:lncRNA from 1 species